GAAACUUAAGUCAGUAUAGUUGGUAGGCAGACCUGAAAACAUGAGAGCAGUCAGAAGCUCAAUGGGAACAGAAUUCCAGGGUAUGCAUUAUUAUAAUUCUAUUGAAGCCUGAAGUAAGAAGACAACAAGGGUAGGAGCUGAGACAAUUCACGUGUAAUAGGAAACUAAACCUAUUGAAGGAUUUGGAGAACUGAGAAAAGGACCUACUUUAAGCCUAAGAACUGAUAGUGAUACAACACUAAAUCAAAGCUUUGAAAUAUGCUGAUUGAAAUCCAACACCUGCUGUUACUAAACAAGGCAAAAUUUAACCUGAAUUGAGCUGGCUGCUGCUGGGUUCCCAAGGCUCG
rnacentral:misc_RNA from 1 species